GCUGAAUUUAAUGAGACUUGAUAGUUAAAGCAAAGGGUGAUGGGAAAAUCCAGAGAAACAAACACUAAGAAGCAUGCCAUCUGGUGGAUAUACAUGGGUACAGCAACUACAUAAGGUGACUAUCUCUCAGGAUGAAGAGGAAGCAUCCACAUCAUUUGACCAAAGAAGCUACCUGGCCUGAGAUGACUAUCAGCACAUCUGAUUCUGGACAAGGGGCCUUGUGUCCUGAAUUUGAAAAAAGGACAUCUCAGAGUACAAUUAAUAAACUAAUAUUGAAUUUGUAA